rnacentral:rRNA from 1 species
CCUACGGGAGGCAGCAGUGAGGAAUAUUGGUCAAUGGACGAGAGUCUGAACCAGCCAAGUAGCGUGAAGGAUGACUGCCCUAUGGGUUGUAAACUUCUUUUAUAAAGGAAUAAAACGAGGCACGUGUGCCUUUUUGCAUGUACUUUAUGAAUAAGGAUCGGCUAACUCCGUGCCAGCAGCCGCCGUAAUACGGAGGAUCCGAGCGUUAUCCGGAUUUAGUGGGUUUAAAGGGAGCGUAGAUGGGUUGUUAAGUCAGUUGUGAAAGUUUGCGGCUCAACCGUAAAAUUGCAAUUGAUACUGGCAGUCUUGAGUACAGUUGAGGUAGGCGGAAUUCGUGGUGUAGCGGUGAAAUGCUUAGAUAUCACGAAGAACCCCGAUUGCGAAGGCAGCUUACUAAACUGUGACUGACAUUGAUGCUCGAAAGUGUGGGUAUCAAACAGGAUUAGAUACCCUGGUAGUC